rfam:Glossina pallidipes unplaced genomic scaffold Scaffold428, whole genome shotgun sequence.
GCAUCUGCAAAUUCAGGUGCCGGGAUUCGCGUCCUGCCGGAAGUAACCGCGACAGAAUGACACGCCGCGAGCGUGUCUUUU